UCCGGGCUGCCUGGGUUGAGUGACUUUCUUCUGUUGUACCCUUUCGCCAUGUUUCCACCGGAGGGCAGCCAACCAUGGUCUGAGACUUCUGAGACUUCUCUGGGACCCCAAGAGAUGAGCACCUUUGUUCCAGCUAUGGUCCUCAUGAUGUGCUGCCUCAACACAAGUCCAGAACCAAUGGUGUCGACAAACCAGGAACUGAAAUCUGUGAAACUAAUGCUUGAAAUGGACUACCAGAAACUUUGGGAUGUAUCUCCACAGCUGCAGUAACUGUUCCCUGAAAAUCAAGACAGGAGCUCAUGUGAGUCUGCUGACUCCUGCCCUGUGCUGAACUUGUCCCGCCUACGUCACAAGGCAAAGAAAACUGGGUUUCUGCUCACUGAUAUAGUGAAAGUCCACCUUAUUGCCAGGAAUAUCAAAUGAAAAACUAGAGGAGGAAAUGCUUAUUUCCAGGAAUAUGAAAAUAAAAAGAAGAAAGGUAGAGGUCCUAAAAUGAGUCUAUUCAAUUCUUAGGGUUAUUCUAACAAAUGACCACAAAGUGAAUGGCUGAAAAACCAGAAAAAAAUUCUCUCACUUGUGGAGGUUAGAAGCCUGAAAUCAAGGGUUUCUGCAGUUUGCUCUCUCUGGAGCCUCUAGGAAAGACUCAUUUUAUGACUUUCCCAGCUCCUAAAGUUCCUCGUGUUUGUAUCAAUCUAACCCUAACCUCCACCCUCAUCCUCACAGAACCUUCUCAGAGUUUAUGUCUUUUCCAUCUUCUCUCGUAAGGAUAGUGGUCAUCUGGUUUAGGGCUGAAGAUGAUUGUAUCAUAAGUGACUUAAUUAUAUUUGCAAUGAUAGCUUGUCUAAAUAAGGUCACAGGUUCUGCACAGAUAUAUCUUUGUGGAGGGGUAGAAGAGGGAAUUUCAUUAGACCCACUACAAUGAGUGCAUGAUUUUGUCUGAUUUCUGAUGGGAUACAAUUGUUUUAUUUUUCUGUUUUCACUUUGAGCUAUGGAAACUACUAAAAGAAUUGUUUGAA